CCCUCUACUCACACAGUCACCCCUCCCCUCACUCUCAUUUAUGCUUCACCUGUGAAUGGUGGUCCUGGGACAGCCACUGCUGGAGCCCGGGUGAGCCUGGGGGCUCCUCCCACUCUGUCCCUCCCUGAUGACAGCCCUCGCCACAGCUCCCGAGCCGGCCACCACGUCCCUGCAUACUUCAUCAUCACCUGUGCCACCAGAAGCCACCACAGCUUUGGGGCACAACCUGAAGUCCCUCACAGUCACCUUCCCCAUCUCCACCCUCAAGUAUUCAUCAGACAGGAGCAACGGCUCAGCCACGUUCAACUCCACUGAGAGGGUCCUGCAGAGCCUGGCCUGAAAAGGAUGGGGAAGCCAGCAGUGUGGACGCUGUCUGCACCUACCAUCCUGACCCCGUGGGCCACCAUGCCUCUGUGCUGGGAACGGAGAGUCUCCACCUGUCUGCUCUUCCUCUCGGUGGCUCCAGGCUCUGCAGCACAGAGUUUAUCCAUCCAGAGAGAGCACCAGCUACAUUUCCACAUCAUCAGCUGGAACCUCAGCAAC